rnacentral:rRNA from 1 species
ACUAGAGUUUGAUCCUGGCUCAGAACGAACGCUGGCGGCGUGCCUAACACAUGCAAGUCGAGCGCGAACGCUCCUUCGGGAGCCUUAAAGCGGCAGACGGGUGAGUAACACGUGGGUAACCUGUCCCUGAGUGGGGGAUAACUACUCGAAAGGGUGGCUAAUACCGCAUAAGACCACGGCCUUGCGGGGCUGAGGUCAAAGGCGCAAGCCGCUUAGGGAGGGGCCCGCGGCCGAUUAGCUAGUUGGCAGGGUAAUGGCCUACCAAGGCGACGAUCGGUAGCUGGUCUGAGAGGAUGAUCAGCCACACUGGUACUGAGACACGGACCAGACUCCUACGGGAGGCAGCAGUGGGGAAUAUUGCGCAAUGGGCGAAAGCCUGACGCAGCAACGCCGCGUGGGUGAUGAAGGCCUUCGGGUCGUAAAGCCCUGUCAGAUGGGACGAAGCAAGUGACGGUACCAUCGAAGGAAGCACCGGCUAACUCCGUGCCAGCAGCCGCGGUAA